GUCAGGAUGGCCGAGUGGUCUAAGGCGCCAGACUCAAGGAUCAAACCUUCCGUAUCAACGGGACUUCUGGUCUCCGAAUGGAGGCGUGGGUUCGAAUCCCACUUCUGACA
rfam:Xiphophorus maculatus strain JP 163 A Contig584.28, whole genome shotgun sequence.